rnacentral:rRNA from 1 species
AGUGAACGCUGGCGGUAUGCCUAACACAUGCAAGUCGAACGGCAGCACAGUAAGAGCUUGCUCUUACGGGUGGCGAGUGGCGGACGUGUGAGGAAUACAUCGGAAUCUACUUUUUCGUGGGGGAUAACGUAGGUAAACUUACGCUAAUACCGCAUACGACCUACGGGUGAAAGCAGGGGAUCUUCGGACCUUGCGCGAUUGAAUGAGCCGAUGUCGGAUUAGCUAGUUGGCGGGGUAAAGGCCCACCAAGGCGACGAUCCGUAGCUGGUCUGAGAGGAUGAUAAGCCACACUGGAACUGAGACACGGUCAAGACUCCUACGGGAGGCAGCAGUGGGGAAUAUUGGGCAAUGGGCGCAAGCAUGAUACAGCCAUACCGCGUGGGUGAAGAAGGCCUUCGGGUUGUAAAGCCCUUUUGUUGGGAAAGAAAAGCAGCAGGUUAAUACCCAGCUGUUCUGACGGUACCCAAAGAAUAAGCACCGGCUAACUUCGUG